GCCCGUCACACCAUGGGAGUGGGUUGUUCCAGAAGUAGUUAGUCUAACCGCAAGGGGGACGGUUACCACGGAGUGAUUCAUGACUGGGGUGAAGUCGUAACAAGGUAGCCGUAGGGGAACCUGCGGCUGGAUCACCUCCUUAAUCGAAGAUCUCAGUUUCUUCAUAAGCUCCCACACGAAUUGCUUGAUUCACUGGUUAGACGAUUGGGUCUGUAGCUCAGUUGGUUAGAGCGCACCCCUGAUAAGGGUGAGGUCGGCAGUUCGAAUCUGCCCAGACCCACCAAUUGUUGGUGUGCUGCGUGAUCCGAUACGGGGCCAUAGCUCAGCUGGGAGAGCGCCUGCUUUGCACGCAGGAGGUCAGGAGUUCGAUCCUCCUUGGCUCCACCAUCCAAACAAUCGUCGAAAGCUCAGAAAUGAAUGUUCGUGAAUGAACAUUGAUUUCUGGUCUUUGCACCAGAACUGUUCUUUAAAAAUUCGGGUAUGUGAUAGAAGUAAGACUGAAUGAUCUCUUUCACUGGUGAUCAUUCAAGUCAAGGUAAAAUUUGCGAGUUCAAGCGCGAAUUUUCGGCGAAUGUCGUCUUCACAGUAUAACCAGAUUGCUUGGGGUUAUAUGGUCAAGUGAAGAAUCGCAUACCGUGGAUGCCUUGGC
rnacentral:misc_RNA from 1 species